UACGUAGGGCGCGAGCGUUGUCCGGAAUUAUUGGGCGUAAAGAGCUUGUAGGCGGGUUGUCGCGUCUGCUGUGAAAGGCCGGAGCUUAACUCCGUGUAUUGCAGUGGGUACGGGCAGACUAGAGUGCAGUAGGGGAGACUGGAAUUCCUGGUGUAGCGGUGAAAUGCGCAGAUAUCAGGAGGAACACCGAUGGCGAAGGCAGGUCUCUGGGCAUUAACUGACGCUGAGGAGCGAAAGCAUGGGGAGCGAACAGG
rnacentral:rRNA from 1 species